AAAAGAAAGGAAAGUGUUCGGGAAAUAUGUAUGCGGAGCUCCAUUUCGAACUAGUCUCUCCAUUUCACAAACUGCGUCUCUCUCUCUCUCUCUUUCACGACUCCAACAAUUGCGUCUCUCUCUCUCUCUUUCACGAAGCUGGAAACUUGCCCUCUCAGCGUCUCUGGCCCAAAUCUUCCGGCCGAACGAAGCUGAAAACUCGUCGAACUCGCCGUCUCUCUCUCUAUCUCCUAAGGUAUUUUCUAUUUCCCCCAAUAUUUUCUCAGUACUUCUUGGUUCUCUCUCUCUUUUCGCGAAGCCAAAUCGCGGAAUCUCUGGCCCCAAUAGUUCUAAUUAUCUGUUUGAACCAAGGUAUUUUCUAACUAUCUGUUUGAACCAAGUGAUGAAUGAAAUCUAGAGUAAGGUAGAAAAUCUAGGGUUGAUGUCUCUGCCGUGUAUUUUCUAAUUUUCUCAUUAUCUGUUUGAACCUUUUGAAUUAAAAUUGAAUGUUUAAAAUUUUUUACAUUGUUUGGUGGUUUAGGCACAAGGAGAUAGGUUGGGCUGAGGAGUAAUAAGGAGGAUAUAAUGGGUUCAUGAUAUAAACCAAUGGUGGUGAAACUGAUAGCCUAAAAUUGUGCCUACCAACUAUUUGAUAAAAUUUCUAAAAGAACUGUUUUGAUUGAAUUUAUAUAUGUAUAUUUGAAUUUAUACUACUAUUAAUAUAAACCAAUGGUGGCAUAUAGUGAUAUCUAGGGAGUGCUGGGGUUUUGGGUUGAUGCAGAAUAAAGGGGCUACAUGACAUAUUUAAUGACAGAGGAUUCCUUGCAACUUUUUAGAGCAUCGUAAGGGUCGAGGAAAUCCAGAUUCAAGAGUUUGUGUAGUUAUAUGGAAAACUUUUUAGUUGCAUCUUUUUUAAUACUAAGUACGUAGUAUUUUACAUUUACUAAGUUUUUUCCUUCUAAGUGCAGUAGCAUGGGCUGUGAUAAUUAUUUAUUCCUGGUUAUGUAUUUGGGCUGGGAACAAGUGACUUGAUGAGCUUACAACGUUGAAGAAAAAAUUGGCCCUUCAAUUUUUCUUGGUCCCCAAGCUUGUCUCUCCUAUAUAAUGUAAUAGAUUAUAGCUACGUUUUAGGCUUUCAGCAGAGUACAAUGAAUAAAAAUUCUUUUAAAUAUGUAUGAGACAGCUAGGUGUGAGGCCUAGUCUUUUUCCCCUCAUUCAUGUGUUAUUGUCAUGAUAUGUGGAUUACCAACUGUGGAAUGUCUCUAAAACAUUGCAAUCUUAUGGUGGUUUUGGAAUAUAAGGUUCAACAAAGGCAUGUCUACUUCAAGCAACAUGAGCAUUCAAACUCAUGAUACCCGAUUCCGAAACAAGAUGUGUUAUUGUCGCCUGAGAGCUGUUGUGAGAAUAUCUGAAUCAAAGAAGAAUCCAGGAAAGCUCUACAAAUCGUGUUCUUUUGUGGGUUAUCCUUUGUAGUGUAGGUCAUGGCACUUUGUAAUGACUGUAAUUGUAAUAACUGUAAUGACUAUAAGGAAAUGACUGUAAUGACUGUAAUGACUAUAAGGAAAAUGUAAUGAUUAUGUACUCUGCUACCCUUUUGUAUUAAGAAAGCACUUGUCUAAUUGUUUGUAUGAAUUUUGGGGUUUCAGGAAGUGCUCUACUCUCU
rnacentral:lncRNA from 1 species